rnacentral:rRNA from 1 species
UACGAAGGGGGCUAGCGUUGUUCGGAAUUACUGGGCGUAAAGCGCACGCAGGCGGCUCGAUAAAUUAGAAGUGAAAGCCCCGGGCUUAACCUGGGAAUUGCUUUUAAGACUGUCGGGCUAGAAUCCAGAAGAGGGUAGUGGAAUUCCGAGUGUAGAGGUGAAAUUCGUAGAUAUUCGGAAGAAUACCAGUGGCGAAGGCGACUACCUGGUCUGGCAUUGACGCUCAUGUGCGAAAGCGUGGGGAGCAAACAGG